UGACCGACUGUGUCUCUGUCUCAUAAGCUGUCCGUCACAUUCUCCCCUCUAGGUCUCUGACCGACUGUGUCUCUGUCUCAUAAGCUGUCCGUCACAUUCUCCCCUCUAGGUCUCUGACCGACUGUGUCUCUGUCUCAUAAGCUGUCCGUCACAUUCUCCCCUCUAGGUCUCUGACCGACUGUGUCUCUGUCUCAUAAGCUGUCCGUCACAUUCUCCCCUCUAGGUCUCUGACCGACUGUGUCUCUGUCUCAUAAGCUGUCCGUCACAUUCUCCCCUCUAGGUCUCUGACCGACUGUGUCUCUGUCUCAUAAGCUGUCCGUCACAUUCUCCCCUCUAGGUCUCUGACCGACUGUGUCUCUGUCUCAUAAGCUGUCCGUCACAUACUCCUAGCUCCUCUUGUAAAAGACAAGAGCAAAAGAAAAAGGAGGAGGGGCCUAUAUUUCCCAGAGUAUCAACUAUCCCUUCUUUCUUUCAGGCUUCCCUGAGAGGGAUACAAGUGCAGGUUGAGGUACAGCACUUGGACACAGCUGAGCCAGGUCAAUAUACAAUAUAGGUGUUGUAUACAUUUAAUCUAAUACAGGUAGUUAAGUCUGCGUCAUCCUGACUAAUAUUGCUGCCCCUCCCGUCAACUUUAUCCUGAGAGGUACAAUACUGAAGGCUACAGAAACCCACGGCAGAAAAACGCUAGUCAAAUACAAGCAGACGGUGGAGAAAGAAAUUAAACAGUCUGCCCCCC